rnacentral:rRNA from 1 species
AUUGAACGCUGACGGCAGGCCUAACACAUGCAAGUCGAGCGGAUGAAGGGAGCUUGCUCCUGGAUUCAGCGGCGGACGGGUGAGUAAUGCCUAGGAAUCUGCCUGGUAGUGGGGGAUAACGUCCGGAAACGGGCGCUAAUACCGCAUACGUCCUGAGGGAGAAAGUGGGGGAUCUUCGGACCUCACGCUAUCAGAUGAGCCUAGGUCGGAUUAGCUAGUUGGUGGGGUAAAGGCCUAGCAAGGCGACGAUCCGUAACUGGUCUGAGAGGAUGAUCAGUCACACUGGAACUGAGACACGGUCCAGACUCCUACGGGAGGCAGCAGUGGGGAAUAUUGGACAAUGGGCGAAAGCCUGAUCCAGCCAUGCUGCGUGUGUGAAGAAGGUCUUCGGAUUGUAAAGCACUUUAAGUUGGGAGGAAGGGCAGUAAGUUAAUACCUUGCUGUUUUGACGUUACCAACAGAAUAAGCACCGGCUAACUUCGUG